GAUGAACGCUGGCGGCGUGCCUAAUACAUGCAAGUCGAGCGAACAGACGAGGAGCUUGCUCCUCUGACGUUAGCGGCGGAAGGGUGAGUAACACGUGGAUAACCUACCUAUAAGACUGGGAUAACUUCGGGAAACCGGAGCUAAUACCGGAUAAUAUAUUGAACCGCAUGGUUCAAUAGUGAAAGACGGUUUUGCUGUCACUUAUAGAUGGAUCCGCGCCGCAUUAGCUAGUUGGUAAGGUAACGGCUUACCAAGGCAACGAUGCGUAGCCGACCUGAGAGGGUGGUCGGCCCCACUGGAACUGAGACACGAUCCAGACUCCUACGGGAGGCAGCAGUAGGGAAUCUUCCGCAAUGGGCGAAAGCCUGACGGAGCAACGCCGCGUGAGUGAUGAAGGUCUUCGGAUCGUAAAACUCUGUUAUUAGGGAAGAACAAAUGUGUAAGUAACUAUGCACGUCUUGACGGUACCUAAUCAGAAAGCCACGGCUAACUACGUG
rnacentral:rRNA from 1 species